UACGUAGGGUGCGAGCGUUAUUCGGAAUUACUGGGCGUAAAGCGUGCGCAGGCGGUUUUGCAAGUCAGAUGUGAAAUCCCCGGGCUUAACCUGGGAACUGCAUUUGAAACUGGGAGACUUGAGUGUGGCAGAGGGGGGUGGAAUUCCACGUGUAGCAGUGAAAUGCGUAGAUAUGUGGAGGAACACCGAUGGCGAAGGCAGCCCCCUGGGUUAACACUGACGCUCAUGCACGAAAGCGUGGGGAGCAAACAGG
rnacentral:rRNA from 1 species